rnacentral:rRNA from 1 species
GACGAACGCUGGCGGCGUGCUUAACACAUGCAAGUCGAACGGAAAGGCCCUGCUUUUGUGGGUUGCUCGAGUGGCGAACGGGUGAGUAACACGUGAGUAACCUGCCCUUGACUUUGGGAUAACUUCAGGAAACUGGGGCUAAUACCGGAUAGGAGCUCCUGCUGCAUGGUGGGGGUUGGAACGUUUCGGCGGUUGGCGAUUGACUCGCGGCUUAUCAGCUGGGUGGUGGGGUAGUGGCUUACCAAGGCUUUGACGGGUAGCCGGCCUGAGAGGGUGACCGGCCAUAUUGGGACUGAGAUAGGGCCCAGAAUCCUAUGGGAGGCAGCAGUGGGGAAUAUUGCACAAGUGGCGGAAGUCUGAGGCAGCAGAGCCGCGUGCGUAAUGUCAGCCUUCGGGUUGUAAACCGCUUUCGCCUGUGACGAAGCGUGAGUGACGGUAAUGGGUAAAGAAGCACCGGCUAACUACGUG